rnacentral:rRNA from 1 species
CCAACCAUGCUUCCAGGAAAAGUCUCUAAGCUUCAGUUACACAGGAAUCGUACCCGAAACCGACACAGGUGGUCAGGUCGAGUAGACCAAAGCGCUUGAGAGAACUCUGCUGAAGGAACUAGGCAAAAUGGUACCGUAACUUCGGGAGAAGGUACGCUGUUGUCUGUGAUAGGACUUGCUCCUUGAGCGGCCGACAGCCUCAGAAACCAGGCCCCUGCAACUGUUUAUUAAAAACAUAGCACUCUGCAAACACGAAAGUGGACGUAUAGGGUGUGAUGCCUGCCCGGUGCUGGAAGGUUAAUUGAUGGGGUUAGCGUAAGCGAAGCUCUUGAUCGAAGCCCCAGUAAACGGCGGCCGUAACUAUAACGGUCCUAAGGUAGCGAAAUUCCUUGUCGGGUAAGUUCCGACCUGCACGAAUGGCAUAAUGAUGGGGGCGCUGUCUCCAGCAGAGACUCAGUGAAAUCGAAUUCGCCGUGAAGAUGCGGUGUACCCGCGGCUAGACGGAAAUACCCCGUGAACCUUUACUGCAGCUUGACAUUGAACUUUGAUCUUACUUGUGUAGGAUAGGUGGGAGGCUUUGAAGUCGCGACGCUAGUUGCGAUGGAGCCGUCCUUGAAAUACCACCCUGGUAAUAUUGAGGUUCUAACUCUGUCCCGUUAUCCGGGACGAGGACCAUGUCUGGUGGGUAGUUUGACUGGGGCGGUCUCCUCCUAAGGAGUAACGGAGGAGUACGAAGGUGCGCUCAGCGUGGUCGGAAAUCACGCGUAGAGUAUAAAGCAAAAGCGCGCUAACUGCGAGACCCACAAGUCGAGCAGGUACGAAAGUAGGUCUUAGUGAUCCGGUGGUUCUGUAUGGAAGGGCCAUCGCUCAACGGAUAAAAGGUACUCUGGGGAUAACAGGCUGAUACCGCCCAAGAGUUCAUAUCGACGGCGGUGUUUGGCACCUCGAUGUCGGCUCAUCUCAUCCUGGGGCUGAAGCAGGUCCCAAGGGUAUGGCUGUUCGCCAUUUAAAGAGGUACGCGAGCUGGGUUUAGAACGUCGUGAGACAGUUCGGCCCCUAUCUACCGUGGGCGUUGGAAAUUUGAGAGGAUCUGCUCCUAGUACGAGAGGACCAGAGUGGACGAACCUCUGGUGUACCGGUUGUCACGCCAGUGGCAUCGCCGGGUAGCUAUGUUCGGAAGGGAUAACCGCUGAAAGCAUCUAAGCGGGAAGCCUACCUCAAGAUAAGAUUUCCCCGAGACUUUAUGUCUCCUAAAGAGCCGUUGAAGACUACGACGUUGAUAGGUUGGAUGUGGAAGCAUAGUGAUAUGUGAAGCUGACCAAUACUAAUUGCUCGUGAGGCUUGACUAU